rnacentral:rRNA from 1 species
CAGCCGCCGCGGUAAUACGGAGGGCGCGAGCGUUGUCCGGAUUCACUGGGCGUAAAGCGGGUGUAGGCGGCCCGUUAAGACAGGUGUGAAAUCCCUGGGCUCAACCUAGGAAUUGCGCUUGUGACUGGCGGGCUCGAGUACGGUAGAGGGGGGUGGAAUUCCUGGUGUAGCAGUGAAAUGCGUAGAGAUCAGGAGGAACACCGAUGGCGAAGGCAGCCCCCUGGGCCUGUACUGACGCUCAUGCACGAAAGCGUGGGGAGCAAACAGGAUUAGAUACCCUGGUAGUCCACGCCCUAAACGAUGGGUACUAGCCGUUUGGUGCGCGAGAGCGCUGAGUGGCGAAGCUAACGCGUGAAGUACCCCGCCUGGGGAGUACGGCCGCAAGGUUGAAACUUAAAGGAAUUGGCGGG